AUUGAACGCCGGCGGCAGGCCUAACACAUGCAAGUCGAGCGGCAGCGGAAGGAAGCUUGCUUUCUUGCCGGCGAGCGGCGGACGGGUGAGUAAGGUAUGGGGAUCUGGCCGAAGGCGGGGGAUAACCACUGGAAACGGUGGCUAAUACCGCACAUCUCUAAGGAGCAAAGUGGGGGACCGUUCAGGCCUCACACCUUCGGAUGAACCCAUAUGAGAUUAGCUAGUAGGUGGGGUAAUGGCUCACCUAGGCGACGAUCUCUAGCUGGUCUGAGAGGAUGAUCAGCCACACUGGGACUGAGACACGGCCCAGACUCCUACGGGAGGCAGCAGUGGGGAAUAUUGCACAAUGGGCGCAAGCCUGAUGCAGCCAUGCCGCGUGUAUGAAGAAGGCCUUCGGGUUGUAAAGUACUUUCAGUCGUGAGGAAGGUGUUAAGGUUAAUAACCUUAGCAAUUGACGUUAGCGACAGAAGAAGCACCGGCUAACUCCGUGCCAGCCGCCGCCGUAA
rnacentral:rRNA from 1 species